AGUGAACGCUGGCGGUAGGCCUAACACAUGCAAGUCGAACGGCAGCACAGUAAGAGCUUGCUCUUACGGGUGGCGAGUGGCGGACGGGUGAGGAAUACAUCGGAAUCUACUUUUUCGUGGGGGAUAACGUAGGGAAACUUACGCUAAUACCGCAUACGACCUACGGGUGAAAGCAGGGGAUCUUCGGACCUUGCGCGAUUGAAUGAGCCGAUGUCGGAUUAGCGAGUUGGCGGGGUAAAGGCCCACCAAGGCGACGAUCCGUAGCUGGUCUGAGAGGAUGAUCAGCCACACUGGAACUGAGACACGCUCCAGACUCCUACGGGAGGCAGCAGUGGGGAAUAUUGGACAAUGGGCGCAAGCCUGAUCCAGCCAUACCGCGUGGGUGAAGAAGGCCUUCGGGUUGUAAAGCCCUUUUGUUGGGAAAGAAAAGCAGCAGGUUAAUACCCCGCUGUUCUGACGGUACCCAAAGAAUAAGCACCGGCUAACUUCGUG
rnacentral:rRNA from 1 species